UACGAAGGGGGCUAGCGUUGCUCGGAAUCACUGGGCGUAAAGGGUGCGUAGGCGGGUCUUUAAGUCAGGGGUGAAAUCCUGGAGCUCAACUCCAGAACUGCCUUUGAUACUGAAGAUCUUGAGUUCGGGAGAGGUGAGUGGAACUGCGAGUGUAGAGGUGAAAAUUCGUAGAUAUUCGCAAGAACACCAGUGGCGAAGGCGGCUCACUGGCCCCGAUACUGACGCUGAGGCACGAAAGCGUGGGGGGAAGCCAAACAGGGGAUUAAGAUACCCG
rnacentral:rRNA from 1 species